AGUGAACGCUGGCGGUAGGCCUAACACAUGCAAGUCGAACGGCAGCGCAGUAAGAGCUUGCUCUUACGGGUGGCGAGUGGCGGACGGUUGAGGAAUACAUCGGAAUCUACUUUUUCGUGGGGGAUAACGUAGGGAAACUUACGCUAAUACCGCAUACGACCUACGGGUGAAAGCAGGGGAUCUUCGGACCCUGCGCGAUUGAAUGAGCCGAUGUCGGAUUAGCUAGUUGGCGGGGUAAAGGCCCACCAAGGCGACGAUCCGUAGCUGGUCUGAGAGGAUGAUCAGCCACACUGGAACUGAGACACGGUCCAGACUCCUACGGGAGGCAGCAGUGGGGAAUAUUGGACAAUGGGCGCAAGCCUGAUCCAGCCAUACCGCGUGGGUGAAGAAGGCCUUCGGGUUGUAAAGCCCUUUUGUUGGGAAAGAAAAGCAGCAGGUUAAUACCCCGCUGUUCUGACGGUACCCAAAGAAUAAGCACCGGCUAACUUCGUG
rnacentral:rRNA from 1 species